rnacentral:rRNA from 1 species
AUUGAACGCUGGCGGCAGGCCUAAACACAUGCAAGUCGAGCGGAUGAAAGGAGCUUGCUCCUGGAUUCAGCGGCGGACGGGUGAGUAAUGCCUAGGAAAUCUGCCUGGUAGUGGGGGACAACGUUUCGAAAGGAACGCUAAUACCGCAUACGUCCUACGGGAGAAAGCAGGGGACCUUCGGGCCUUGCGCUAUCAGAUGAGCCUAGGUCGGAUUAGCUAGUUGGUGAGGUAAUGGCUCACCAAGGCGACGAUCCGUAACUGGUCUGAGAGGAUGAUCAGUCACACUGGAACUGAGACACGGUCCAGACUCCUACGGGAGGCAGCAGUGGGGAAUAUUGGACAAUGGGCGAAAGCCUGAUCCAGCCAUGCCGCGUGUGUGAAGAAGGUCUUCGGAUUGUAAAGCACUUUAAGUUGGGAGGAAGGGUUGUAGAUUAAUACUCUGCAAUUUUGACGUUACCGACAGAAUAAGCACCGGCUAACUCUGUGCCAGCAGCCGCGGUAAUACAGAGGGUGCAAGCGUUAAUCGGAAUUACUGGGCGUAAAGCGCGCGUAGGUGGUUUGUUAAGUUGGAUGUGAAAUCCCCGGGCUCAACCUGGGAACUGCAUCCAAAACUGGCAAGCUAGAGUAUGGUAGAGGGUGGUGGAAUUUCCUGUGUAGCGGUGAAAUGCGUAGAUAUAGGAAGGAACACCAGUGGCGAAGGCGACCACCUGGACUGAUACUGACACUGAGGUGCGAAAGCGUGGGGAGCAAACAGG